GGUUCUCAUGCCUAUUCUCCUGCCUCAGCCUCCUGAGUAGCUGGGAUUACAAGCAUGUGCCACUAUGCCCGGCUAAUUUUUGUAUUUUUAGUAGAGACGGAGUUUCUCCAUGAUGGUCAGGCUGCUCUCGAACUCCGGACUUCAGGUGAUACACCCACCUCAGCCUCCCAAAGUGCUGGGAUUAUAGGUGUGAGCCACUGCACCCGACCUACCUGUAUGUUUUGAGGGAAUGGUUUUGUGUGUGUGUUUGUUUUUAAUAAUAUCCGGACUGGUCCAAAAGGAAAGAUGCUUUAUCUAGUGUCUAUUUCCCAGGACCAGGAUCUUAGGCUCUGAGAAUCUGCCCAUACUCAUUCCCAGAUGCCCCCAGGGAGUGGAAAAUAGAUGGCCAUAAAGCAGAAUCAACUACUAAGUGUUACUGUCUUGAGCUCAGGUGUCAGCUCUCCUCUGGGGCCUGUUGAGAGUUGGGGGGUCAGGUGUGGGCAGAGCAUCUCCCUGCCUCCUGGGCAUAGGAGGUGACAUCAGGUUAUCUUCUUGACCCUAGGCCUCCUCUCUCUGCAGUGCCUCUCUCAUCCCUGCAAUCCAGACAGCACAUGCAGGAGCUCAAAUAAGUGCCACCUCUGGAUAUGAAAAACAGGACCCAGAGAGGGGAAAUCAUUUGAAUCUUGUCCUGGAAUUGCUUUGUGUUCCUGGAUUUGGAGAAUUUCUGGGAACACAGGAAAAGGAAAGCCAACUCCAUUCCUGGCUACCUCAUCCCCUCCAGUCUGAAAGGACGUGUGAAUGCCACCAGGAUCUGAACCCAAGAUCUCCAUCCUCCGUCACCAUCCUGACCCUGAGAAUGCCACUGGGAUGGGGAGAACUUGCCAGUCUUCAUCCUUACCCACAAGUGUACUGA
rnacentral:lncRNA from 1 species